rnacentral:rRNA from 1 species
UACGUAGGGACCGAGCGUUGUCCGGAAUCAUUGGGCGUAAAGAGCGUGUAGGCGGCCUGUUAAGUCUUGCGUGAAAUCUCGGGGCUCAACCCCGAGCGGUCGUGAGAAACUGGCAGGCUAGAGUGCGGGAGAGGAGAGUGGAAUUCCUGGUGUAGCGGUGAAAUGCGCAGAUAUCAGGAAGAACACCCGUGGCGAAGGCGGUUGCCUGGAGCUUUGCUGACGCUGAUGCGCGAAAGCGUGGGGAGCGAUCCGG